rnacentral:ncRNA from 1 species
CCGACACACUCUGCAAUGGCCUCCGGUCGGUGUUGAUGCAAUGUGAUCUCUGCCCAGUGCUCUGAAUGUCAACGUGAGGAGAUUCAUCAAAGCGCGAAUAAACGGCGGGAGUAACUAUGACUCUCUUGGUGCCCCUUGUUUACGUACCGCCAUACCAGGUAUGGCACUGCAUAGAUUGUUGGCACUGGGCACGUCAUCGCAUCCUGCGUGCGCCGUGGCCUUGCAGCUGCCGCACAUGGUCGACUUGAAAGAUUGACUAGAACGGUCGUUCAUCUUUAAGGGCAAGGUGCUUCGAUCUAGGGGUGCUGUAUCCAGGUUUUGGGCGAGAGAGUGGCACAAGAGUGCAGACGGU